UACGGGGGGGGCAAGCGUUGUUCGGAAUUACUGGGCGUAAAGGGCUCGUAGGUGGCCAACUAAGUCAGACGUGAAAUCCCUCGGCUUAACCGGGGAACUGCGUCUGAUACUGGAUGGCUUGAGUUCGGGAGAGGGAUGCGGAAUUCCAGGUGUAGCGGUGAAAUGCGUAGAUAUCUGGAGGAACACCGGUGGCGAAGGCGGCAUCCUGGACCGGCAUUGACGCUGAGGAGCGAAAGCCAGGGGAGCAAAACGGG
rnacentral:rRNA from 1 species